UUGCAGCACCGUUGCGACCAGACGCGUCUGAUAAGGAUUCAUUGUCCGCAGAGCGUUCAGAACCUUGCCAUAUUGAGUUCUGUCUGCAUCGACCACGACCAGGAUGAUUCCAACCACGGAAAGCAGGGACGCGAAGUCCUGACCGUCGAUGGCUCCCCCGUCGAUCAGGGUGGUGCCGUUGUAGGCAAGUGCGCAGCCAUUCUGCGUCGACAGUGCAGUUUGAGGUGAAGGUUCAGACUUGCUGCGCGCGCCGGCCGGAAGAACGCGAAGCUCGCCGACCUCGACUUCAAGCUCAUCCAAGGUAACCGGGCUUCGCAUCGCAUCGAAGAAGCCCGGCCUGCCUUCGAGGCCGAGCUGCUUCGAAAUUUG
rnacentral:misc_RNA from 1 species